UACAGAGGGUGCAAGCGUUAAUCGGAAUUACUGGGCGUAAAGCGUGCGCAGUCGGUUAUUUAAGUCGGAUGUGAAAUCCCCGGGCUCAACCUGGGAAUUGCAUUCGAUACUGGAUGGCUAGAGUUCGGCAGAGGGAAGUGGAAUUUCAGGUGUAGCGGUGAAAUGCGUAGAUAUCUGAAGGAACAUCAGUGGCGAAAGCGACUUCCUGGACCAGAACUGACGAUCAGGCACGAAAGCGUGGGGAGCAAACGGG
rnacentral:rRNA from 1 species